AGUGAACGCUGGCGGUAGGCCUAACGCAUGCAAGUCGAACGGCAGCACAGUAAGAGCUUGCUCUUACGGGUGGCGAGUGGCGGACGGGUGAGGAAUACAUCGGAAUCUACUUUUUCGUGGGGGACAACGUAGGGAAACUUACGCUAAUACCGCAUACGACCUACGGGUGAAAGCAGGGGAUCUUCGGACCUUGCGCGAUUGAAUGAGCCGAUGUCGGAUUAGCUAGUUGGCGGGGUAAAGGCCCACCAAGGCGACGAUCCGUAGCUGGUCUGAGAGGAUGAUCAGCCACACUGGAACUGAGACACGGUCCAGACUCCUACGGGAGGCAGCAGUGGGGAAUAUUGGACAAUGGGCGCAAGCCUGAUCCAGCCAUACCGCGUGGGUGAAGAAGGCCUUCGGGUUGUAAAGCCCUUUUGUUGGGAAAGAAAAGCAGCAGGUUAAUACCCCGCUGUUCUGACGGUACCCAAAGAAUAAGCACCGGCUAACUUCGUG
rnacentral:rRNA from 1 species